rnacentral:tRNA from 1 species
GCCUGGGUGGCUCAAUUGGUUAAGCGUCAGAUUGUUGAUUUUAGCUCAGGUCACCAUCUUACGGUUUGUGGGAUCGAGCCCCACUUCGGGCU